CUUCAUCCCUCUAAAGUUUUAAAGAGGAUCAAAACUGUGCAUAUUCUCUACUAUUUCUUCUUUUAUUUUUAUUUUUAUUUUUUUUUACACAAGGUAUAAUGGGCUUAAAAGACUUUUAAGAUUUGGGUUCGAUAGUAUAUUCUUUUGGUCAACAAGAUUGUCAACGUUCCGAUACAUAAGGAAAUGAAUUUUUUAUUCUAGACAGGAUGCAACUUCCACGUAUGUUUUCUAAAAUUUGAACCGUAUUUGACUAAUUUAAAAAUUCAUAAAAUGUCUCAUCCACUAUUGAAGUUUCUUCAAUGAUCGGUUCCAACGGGUCGUUAAAGAAUACCCAACUUUUUUAGAACAAAUUAUAAUAGAGUGGCUAUUAUCCAUUUCUAAUUAACAACUUUUUAACAUACAUCAAACCCUUGUUUACAUGGUAAUCGAGUAUUUUCCUUCGCAAAAAUUCACUAUUACUCCAAAUACUCAGUUACUGAAUUGUUCGAUCUCACAAUUAAAUUUCGCGCAGUAUGUUAUUAUAUUCUAUAUACAGUUUUAGAAUAACGCACUUUAUACAUGGUUUUCGGCAAUAACGUUUACAUUUAUA